rnacentral:rRNA from 1 species
GAUGAACGCUGGCGGCGUGCCUAAUACAUGCAAGUAGAACGCUGAAGGAAGGAGCUUGCUCUUUCCGGAUGAGUUGCGAACGGGUGAGUAACGCGUAGGUAACCUGCCUGGUAGCGGGGGAUAACUAUUGGAAACGAUAGCUAAUACCGCAUAACAGUAGAUGUUGCAUGAUAUCUACUUAAAAGGUGCAAUUGCACCACUACCAGAUGGACCUGCGUUGUAUUAGCUAGUUGGUGAGGUAACGGCUCACCAAGGCGACGAUACAGAGCCCGACUGAGAGGGUGGUCGGCCCCACUGGGACUGCGACCCGGCCCAGACUCCUACCGGAGGCAGCAGUAGGGGAUCUUCGGCAAUGGACGGAAGUCUGACCGAGCCACGCCGCGUGAGUGAAGAAGGUUUUCGGAUCGUAAAGCUCUGUUGUAAGAGAAGAACGAGUGUGAGAGUGGAAAGUUCACACUGUGACGGUAUCUUACCAGAAAGGGACGGCUAACUACGUG